rnacentral:rRNA from 1 species
CCUACGGGGUGCUGCAGUCGAGAAUCAUUCACAAUGGGGGAAACCCUGAUGGUGCGACGCCGCGUGGGGGAAUGAAGGUCUUCGGAUUGUAAACCCCUGUCAUGUGGGAGCAAAUUAAAAAGAUAGUACCACAAGAGGAAGAGACGGCUAACGCUGUGCCAGCAGCCGCGGUAAUACAGAGGUCUCAAGCGUUGUUCGGAAUCACUGGGCGUAAAGCGUGCGUAGGCUGUUUCGUAAGUCGUGUGUGAAAGGCGCGGGCUCAACCCGCGGACGGCACAUGAUACUGCGAGACUAGAGUAAGGGAGGGGGAACCGGAAUUCUCGGUGUAGCAGUGAAAUGCGUAGAUAUCGAGAGGAACACUCGUGGCGAAGGCGGGUUCCUGGACAUUAACUGACGCUGAGGCACGAAGGCCAGGGGAGCGAAAGGGAUUAGAUACCCUUGUAGUC